ensembl:lncRNA
AGGAAAUGUCACAAUGUGACAUCCUUCUGCCACAGUGUGAAAGGAAGCGAGAUGGAGGUAUCUGCUGUUUACCAUGCAGGUAGAAUGAGACUGGGAAGGCUUGAGCAUGAACUUCCACUGGGUCACCCUGAUAGUGUCACAUCACCACUCUUUCAGCAUGCCAUCCAGAACUAGUGACAGAACAUGCUAACUGGAGGAAGAAGGUACAUUUGGCACCAGAAUGAGGCAAACGAAGUUAUGUCCAAAGUGGAAGUCUCCAAGGGGUCUGUAUUCAAUAGGAGCAAACGUGAGACAAAGAG